rnacentral:rRNA from 1 species
AUUGAACGCUGGCGGCAUGCCUUACACAUGCAAGUCGAACGGCAGCACGGGUGCUUGCCCCUGGUGGCGAGUGGCGAACGGGUGAGUAAUACAUCGGAACAUGUCCUGUAGUGGGGGAUAGCCCGGCGAAAGCCGGAUUAAUAGCGCAUACGAUCUACGGAUGAAAGCGGGGGACCUUCGGGCCUCGCGCUAUAGGGUUGGCCGAUGGCUGAUUAGCUAGUUGGUGGGGUAAAGGCCUACCAAGGCGACGAUCAGUAGCUGGUCUGAGAGGACGACCAGCCACACUGGGACUGAGACACGGCCCAGACUCCUACGGGAGGCAGCAGUGGGGAAUUUUGGACAAUGGGCGAAAGCCUGAUCCAGCAAUGCCGCGUGUGUGAAGAAGGCCUUCGGGUUGUAAAGCACUUUUGUCCGGAAAGAAAUCCUUGGCCCUAAUACGGUCGGGGGAUGACGGUACCGGAAGAAUAAGCACCGGCUAACUACGUG